CCUACGGGAUGCAGCAGUGAGGAAUAUUGGUCAAUGGACGAGAGUCUGAACCAGCCAAGUAGCGUGAAGGAUGACUGCCCUAUGGGUUGUAAACUUCUUUUAUAAAGGAAUAAAACGAGGCACGUGUGCCUCUUUGCAUGUACUUUAUGAAUAAGGAUCGGCUAACUCCGUGCCAGCAGCCGCGGUAAUACGGAGGAGCCGAGCGUUAUCCGGAUUUAUUGGGUUUAAAGGGAGCGUAGAUGGGUUGUUAAGUCAGUUUUGAAAGUUUGCGGCUCAACCGUAAAAUUGCAAUUGAUACUGGCAUGCUUGAGUACAGUGGAGGUAGGCGGAAUUCGGGGUGUAGCGGUGAAAUGCUUAGAUAUCACGAAGAACCCCGAUUGCGAAGGCAGCUUACUAAACUGUGACUGACAUUGAUGCUCGAAAGUAUGGGUAGCGAACAGGAUUAGAUACCCUUGUAGUC
rnacentral:rRNA from 1 species